UCCGGGAAAAUGAGACUUUGGCUAACUUUAAUUUUCUUUGCUGCGGCUUUGGAAGGUGCCCAGUCCCAGACGCUGGUGGAGUCCGGAGGGGGUGUGAAGAAGCCCGGAGACUCUCUACGCCUCUCCUGCAAAGCCUCCGGCUUCACCUUCAGCAGCUACUACAUGAGCUGGGUCUGCCAGGCUCCCGGGAAGGGAUUAGAAUGGGUCGCUACUAUAACCAGCAGUGGGUGUAGUACAUAUUACCCUGAUUCAGAGAAAGGGCGAUUCACCAUCUCUAGGGAUAAUUCCAAGAGUGAGCUGUAUCUGCAAAUGACUGGCCUCAAGCAGGAGGACACUGCCCAGUAUUACUGUGUGAGAGACACAGUGAGGUGAAGCCGGUCUGAGCUC